rnacentral:misc_RNA from 1 species
GAUGAAGAACGCAGUGAAAUGCGAUAAGUAAUGUGAAUUGCAGAAUUCAGUGAAUCAUCGAAUCUUUGAACGCACAUUGCGCCCUCUGGUAUUCCGGGGGGCAUGCCUGUUCGAGCGUCAUUAUAACCACUCAAGCUCUCGCUUGGUAUUGGAGUUCGCGAUCUCGCGGCUCCUAAAAUCAGUGGCGGUGCCUGUCGGCUCUACGCGUAGUAAUACUCCUCGCGAUUGAGUCCGGUAGGUUUACUUGCCAGCAACCCCCAAUUUUUACAGGUUGACCUCGGAUCAGGUAGGGAUACCCGCUGAACUUAAGCAUAUCAAUAAGCGGAGGA